UACGGAGGGUGCGAGCGUUGUCCGGAAUCACUGGGCGUAAAGGGCGCGUAGGCGGCCGUGUAAGUCACUUGUGAAAUCCCGGGGCUCAACUCCGGGGCUGCAGGUGAGACUGCGUGGCUAGAGCUUGGUAGAGGCGAGUGGAAUUCCCGGUGUAGCGGUGGAAUGCGUAGAUAUCGGGAAGAACACCGGUGGCGAAGGCGGCUCGCUGGGCCAAUGCUGACGUGAGGCGCGAAAG
rnacentral:rRNA from 1 species